AGAAAAAAGGGAAAGAAGAAAUCAUGGCCGCCGAUUUGCAGUUACCUCCGGGAUUUAGGUUUCAUCCGACGGACGACGAGCUUGUGACGCAUUACUUGUGCCGUAAAUGUGCGUCGCAGCCGAUUUCAGUGCCGAUUAUCGCUGAAAUCGAUCUUUAUAAAUACAAUCCCUGGGACUUGCCUGAAAAGGCUUUGUACGGAGAGAAAGAGUGGUAUUUCUUUUCACCGAGGGACCGGAAGUACCCAAACGGUUCAAGGCCGAACCGGUCGGCUGGGAGUGGGUAUUGGAAGGCGACCGGAGCUGAUAAACCGAUUGGGCGGCCAAAGCCGGUCGGGAUUAAGAAGGCUUUGGUGUUUUACUCUGGGAAAGCUCCUAAGGGUGAGAAAACCAAUUGGAUCAUGCACGAGUACCGGCUCGCUGAUGUGGACCGCUCGGCUCGCAAGAAGAAUAGUCUAAGGCUGGACGAUUGGGUACUCUGCCGUAUAUACAACAAGAAGGGCGUAAUCGAGAAACAGCAACAGCCGCUCAACGUUUCAAUUAAUCGGCCGGAAAUGAACACAAUCGGAUUCGUUGAAAAUGAGGAGGAGGAGGAGAAGCCAGAAAUUCUGAACGAAAGGGCAGUUUCCGGGCGGAUUCCGUCGCCAUCGCCGUCCCAGGCUCCGCCAGUAAAUGAUUACAUGUACUUCGAUCCAUCCGAUUCGAUUCCUCGUCUUCACGCCGACUCGAGCUGCUCAGAGCACGUGGUGUCGUCGGAGUUGACGAGCGAGGUCCAGAGUCAACCGAGAUUGAAAGAAGAGUACUCUGGAUUUCCGUACAAUUACAUGGACACGUCACUGGAGAACGCGUUCUGUGCUCAAUUUCCGACAUUAAAUCAGAUGUCGCCAUUGCAGGAUAUGUUCAUGUAUAUUCACAAGCCUUUUUGAAUUCGACGAACUGGAUCGAUCCAUUGAACGUUGGUUCAUUGCGGUUUACAAAUCGAUUGUACGGUGGCUCGAGACGGUGGUCGAUGACUGUGCCGUGCGAUAAUUUCGCAAUAAGAAAGUUGGUUUCCUGUGAUGACGAGAUGUAGUUUAACUCGGUGGCUGAAGCGGCGGCGCACAGAUUGGAACCGAGUUGUAAUUUGUUCCGAUGAGCGGUUUUAGCACGUGUAUUGUUGAUGUAUAUAUUGUGUCAAACGUGCCACUUAAUGGAAAAACGUUU
rnacentral:misc_RNA from 1 species